UAAGACCCACUACAUUAUUUGACAACUCCUGU
rnacentral:piRNA from 1 species